rnacentral:rRNA from 1 species
UGUCAGCCGCCGCGGUAAUACCAGCAGCUCUAGUGGUAGCAGUUAUUAUUGGGCCUAAAGCGUCCGUAGCCGGUUUAAUAAGUCUCUGGUGAAAUCCUGUAGCUUAACUAUGGGAAUUGCUGGAGAUACUAUUAGACUUGAGAUCGGGAGAGGUUAGAGGUACUCCCAGGGUAGAGGUGAAAUUCUGUAAUCCUGGGAGGACCGCCUGUUGCGAAGGCGUCUAACUGGAACGAUUCUGACGGUGAGGGACGAAAGUUAGGGGCGCGAACCGGAUUAGAUACCCGGGUAGUCCUAACUGUAAACGAUGCGGACUUGGUGUUGGGAUGGCUUUGAGCUGUCUCAUUGCCGAAGGGAAGCUGUUAAGUCCGCCGCCUGGGAAGUACGGUCGCAAGACUGAAACUUAAGGGAAUUGGCGGGGGAGCACCACAACGCGUGGAGCCUGCGGUUUAAUUGGAUUCAACGCCGGACAUCUCACCAGAGGCGACAGCUGUAUGAUAGCCAGGUUGAUGACUUUGCUUGACUAGCUGAGAGGAGGUGCAUGGCCGCCGUCAGCUCGUACCGUGAGGCGUCCUGUUAAGUCAGGCAACGAGCGAGACCCACGCCCUUAGUUACCAGCGGAUUCUUUUUUUUGAAUGCCGGGCACACUAUGGGGACCGCCUAUGAUAAAUAGGAGGAAGGAGUGGACGACGGUAGGUCCGUAUGCCCCGAAUCCUCUGGGCAACACGCGGGCUACAAUGGCUGAUACAAUGGGUUCCGACACCGAAAGGUGGAGGUAAUCCUCUAAACUUACUCGUAGUCCGGAUUGAGACUGUAACUCGUUCUCAUGAAGCUGGAAUGCGUAGUAAUCGCGUGUCCAAUCGCGCGGUGAAUACGUCCCUGCUCCUGCCACA